GGGCCCGCACAAGCAGCGGAGCAUGUGGUUUAAUUCGAAGCAACGCGAAGAACCUUACCUAGACUUGACAUCUCCUGAAUAGUGCAGAGAUGCAUGAAGCCCUUCGGGGCAGGAAGACAGGUGGUGCAUGGUUGUCGUCAGCUCGUGUCGUGAGAUGUUGGGUUAAGUCCCGCAACGAGCGCAACCCCUAUUAUUAGUUGCUACCAUUAAGUUGAGCACUCUAAUAAGACUGCCGUGGUUAACGCGGAGGAAGGUGGGGAUGACGUCAAAUCAUCAUGCCCCUUAUGUCUAGGGCUACACACGUGCUACAAUGGGCAGUACAAAGAGAUGCAAUACCGCGAGGUGGAGCCAAACUCAAAAACUGUUCCCAGUUCGGAUUGUAGGCUGCAACUCGCCUACAUGAAGCCGGAGUUGCUAGUAAUCGCGAAUCAGCAUGUCGCGGUGAAUACGUUCCCGGGCCUU
rnacentral:rRNA from 1 species